rnacentral:lncRNA from 1 species
AAAGCACAGAUUUAAGUGCGGUGCUAUGAGAUUGUACCUAAAACUUACAGACACGUGUCGGAUCAGUGUUGGUAAAAAAAUAUAUAUGUGCCGAUAAAUAAUAAUAUAAAAUAUUUAUUUUUUAAAAAAAUCAAGUUUUCUAAUUACUUUAUUAUAUAUUUUUAUCAAAUCUUAUAAAUUUUAUUGAGAAAAUUAUUUAUUAAUUUAAAACGAAUUUGAAAUAUACAGUGCCGGUAUUUUAUUGAUACGAGAUGGUACGGUAAAUAUUGUCAGCACCGAUGAACACUUAAAUCCUUAUCGAAAAGACUUAAUAUGAUGGUUUAUUGUUAUUAACUCUAAAACUAAGUCAAAUUAUGCUCCAAUUAGUCAUAGAUCGAAUCAAAAUGGUUGAAUUUGCUCAUAUUUUAGAUUCCUUCCCAAUAUCCAAUCCAGAAAUAGUCAUCUACUUAACACAACAAACCAGUAUGGGCCUGUUUUGCCUAACUUCUAAAAAAGUGAUUUCUGCAUAAAUGAUUUUGGUUUGAAAAAUUGAUCUUGGUGAAAAGCUAUAGAGCGGUUGACAGAGUUUAGGUAAAAGUGAUUUUUCUGAAGUGAUUUUUUAAAACUGUUCGGCAAAAAAAAUUUUAAUGCUUGCAUAAAUUAAUAUUUUUACUAAAUUUUAUUUUAAAAUAAUUUAANAAAUUUGAAAUAUACAGUGCCAGUAUUUUAUUGAUACGAGAUGGUACGGUAAAUAUAGUCCGCACCGAUGAACACUUAAAUCUUAAUAUGAUGGUUUAUUGUUAUUAACUCUAAAACUAAGUCAAAUUAUGCUCCAAUUAGUCAUAGAUCGAAUCAAAAUGGUUGAAUUUGCUCAUAUUUUAGAUUCCUUCCCAAUAUCCAAUCCAGAAAUAGUCGUCUACUUAACACAACAAACCAGUAUGGGCCUGUUUUGCCUAACUUCUAAAAAAGUGAUUUCUGCAUAAAUGAUUUUGGUUUGAAAAAUUGAUCUUGGUGAAAAGCUAUAGAGCGGUUGACAGAGUUUAGGUAAAAGUGAUUUUCUAAAACUGUUUGGCAAAAAAAAUUUUAAUGCUUGCAUAAAUUAAUAUUUUUACUAAAUUUUAUUUUAAAAUAAUUUAAAAUUUAAAUUUAAAUAAAAAAUUUAAAUUUGAAUUAAAAGUAUAAUUUUUAAAUUUCAAAUUUGUACAAAAAAUAAAUUUGAAAUUUCAAAAUUUUAUAUUUAAAAUUUGAAUUUUUAAAUCUAAAUUUAACUUUUCAAUAUGAAUUUAAAUUUUGAAUUUCAAAUUUAAAAUCUAAAUUUCAAAUUUCAAAUUUCAAAUUUUAAAUUUCAAAUUUAAGAUUUGAAAUUUGAAAAAAUUUAAGUUUUAAAAUCUGAAAUGUCAAAAUUUAAAUUUUAUCUUAAAUUUAAAAUUUAAAAUUUUGAAUUUUAAACUUUAAAAUUUGAGAUUUGAAACUUAAAUUUAAAAUGUAAAUUUUAAAAGUUGAGAUUUAAAAAUUCAAAUAUAAAUUUAAAAUUUCACAAUUUAAAUUUAAUGUUAAAUUUAUACUUUGAAUCUAAAGUAAAAAAAUAAAAAUUUAAAGUUUGAGUCCAAAAUCAAAAUCAGUUUUGGAGAAAUAGCUUUUUUCUAUUUCUGAUUCCCGGACCUUCAAAAUCAGUUUUCUGAUUCUGAAAAGCUGAAUCAGAUUUUUUAUCUGCCAUUUCCAAAUACUCUAUUGAGCUCAAAAAUAAUUUUAGAUUCAGAAUCACUUAUGAGAAGUUGGGUGAAACACCCCUAUGUCUUUGUUCAAUUCCUUGGAAACUUUGCUCCCAAUCAAACAAAAUCCAGAAAAGAUAUGAUUACAUCACCGACAACAGUGUCGUCUACCCGAUAACUUUUUAUUUUCGGCCGACCAACCCAAUGGAGCCGCACCUUUUUGUGUAGCUCUUUUCUGCCUGUUACAUUGCACCGACUAUUGGAAUUAGGCUCUUCGGUUCAUGGCAAGGGCCAAUACUUUACCGCCUUUAAAUUUGGAUCCACUCAAACACAGUAGACCCUGUCCCCAUUAACACGCUUAUCUCCACCGCCUUUGAAUUUGCUGGACCACUCGGAGCGAAGAUCUCAUCCCUACUGUAGCAAUUGCAGCGUAUUUUACCUUUUUUUUUUUGGGUGUGGGGGGGGGGGGAGGAAUUGAAAAGUAUUCGAUGAAAAAAAAAAUACAGUGAUUACUGUAAUAAAAAGUAUAGAUGUAGUUCUGAGCCGCAGAAAUGAAAUCUCUAAUUUGUUGUUCACGGCCUGAGCAAUAAGUUUGUUCCGACCACCGUGAAAACACAACUAGCGUAAGUUAAAUCUCGAGAAAAUCCUAAACCCUAAACCUUAACCCUGAAUCAGAAUUUUUCUAACGAAAGUUCUGCUAAUUUGACAAAAACAUAGAAUACCACUCAGAUCAAUAAAAGAACAAAAAGGAGCAAAGUAAAAGAAGCAUAAAGUAGAACAAAAGGUAGAAAUCGCCGGAAAGAAUAAGAAAUGGAGACACACGCACGCAGGCACGCACACACCAACUAUAUUUAAUUGUGCAGAUUAUUAAUUUAGAAUCUUUACUUUCUGAUCUGUAUUUAGUAGUUUUUGGGGAUCAAUUUUCUUAGGAGAAGACUCCUAAAGGAUACAAAGAAACUUCCGGAAUGAUGCGCGGGUGAAAGAACUAGGCCUGGGCCCAACGACAUUUUCGGAUAUGGCACAUUAAAGUGGAAUCUAGGCCCAGAUUCACCCAACAAGACGGGCUCUGUAGCCUAAGAUCCGACCCAGGCCUAUCAUCAGCCUUAUCACUCCCGAAUAAUUCUCCACAAGGUCUACUCAAAUUUGCUCUGCAUGAGUUGUUCUAAUUUGUCCAAUAAGAUUCACACCGACAAACCAUCCCUAGCGCAAGUAGCAAAAAGCUUGGUGAUUGGUAUCCGAAGUCCUAAGUUCGAAUCCUAGUUGAUUCAUAUUUCUACAGCUAAGUUUAUUUCUAAAAUUAAAUAAACGAAGUGGAUAGCAUGCUAUCUAUCCCACAGUAUAGUUACUGAAAUAGAGAUAGAAAAGGUCGUAAUAAACUUCAAUCAAGCAAUCAACAUUCUGUACUAAUUUUAUGCUUUUCCUAUGUACUGUUGAUGAUUCCUUUUAUGCAUGAGGGUGCUAAAAUAGGGAAAAUGGGAGGUGUAUUUAAUCUUUUUUCUCCCACAGUUUUGCUUUCUUUUAUAGUAUUUUUGUGGAAUUUGCACGUUUAGUUUUCUAGACUUGCUUAUUAAAACUAAACUUGCUUAUUUGUGAAUCUGUUUCAUGCGGCUUGGCAAGGAAAUUUUGAAUCAUGGAUACAGGAUCCUUUACGUGUAAGAUCAAUUGCUCAUGCAAUUUGGGAUCCUCAUUUUGGUCAACCAGCUGUGCGCCUCAGUACUGAAAAUGGCACAGAAAAGUAAGCUUAGCUCGCUGGGUUUACUUAUUUAUUUAGUCAUUUGUUUAUUUAUCUAUCUAUUUAUUUUGGUUGUGUUAAGAACCCUUCCGAACUUGUUAUCUGGUUGAGAUGAUUAAUCAACAAGUGAAAUAAUGGUAUUUUUGAGAAAAAAAAAAGAAGCUUAUAUUAAACAGUCGUGGUUUCAUUUAAAUGGCCCAAAGAGAGUAUUUCUCUGGCUACAGCAGUUUCAUAUGAAAUGGCUCAACAGGAGUUGAAACUGUAAAUAUAUGAAUGCAAGCUCAACAAGUCUAAAACCACAGCCCGUGUGUUGUGCGGGGUCAAAGAGAAAGCUGUCGACCAUUUAUUCACAUGAUGUGUCUUCUCGAGAUUUUUACUGAUGACGACCUUAGAGUAUGCUCAGUCUAGAGAUUGAGGGGAUGACGUGAGAUCGGUCAAGGAUAGAUGGAUGACGAGAAUUGGAACGCAGUCGUCGGGUACUACGAUAUCUGGAUUGGUAGCCUGCUGGCGGGUAUAAUUUGGAAGGUCAGAAACGGCAUGAUCUUUAGGAAGACCAAACCGGACCCCUUUUUUGUAGCUUACAAGAUAUAGCAGCUGACGAAUCUUUUGAAACAAUUUCUAUCAGGUAAUCAACGACACGUUUGUAGUUAGUCGGUUUUUGUUUUGCUUUUUUUUUUUUUUUCGACCCCUCCGAGGCCUAUGUUGCCUCAACCCUGUAGCUUAGUUCAUCUUUUCAAUGAAUGAAACGAGUAGCGUGCUACCUAUUUCUAAAAAAAAAUAAAAAAAAAAGAAGUCUAAACCACCUCUAUACAUCAAAACAUAUAACCUUAUGGAAAAUACUUUGCUUAUAAAUAAAUCUCACAAUAUUUUACAAACUAUACAAUGCAGUGGUCGGGCUUCAAUCUUAAACUAUAAAUCAUGCUUUUCUUCUUGUAAUUUACAAUUUUUCACCAAUUAAAUGCCGUCACCUAUGCUAGUGUAUAAAAUAUUGUAAAAUUUAUUUAUAAAUAUAACAUUACUCGAGGUGCAGUACUCUAUCAAACACAGAAUAAAGAAUAAUGCUAAGAAAUUAAUACUUGGUUUGAUCAAAUAGUCAUCAUAAUCUUAGUUAUAACAAGCAAGAUAAAACUUUAAAAAUAGAUCAUGAUGGAUGGAAAAACUUCAAUUCGAAAAAGACUUGUAUUUCUACAGAGAUUAUCAUGAACAAUCCUUAGAUCAUCCCUUUACCUUAGAAUUGAGAACUACAUUAAUUUUGCGUUUGGUUUUAGUUGCAAACAAAGAAUGUACGAGUUUAAUCCCUAGAUUCUCAUGAAAGAAAGCAUUUCGGUUGUAUUUUAAAAAACAGAAAUUUUUUUUCUUAAAAUCUUAUUCUUUAUUUACUUUCGAGAUUAAUUUCGUAUAUGUCCCUAUAAAUAUAGUAAAUAACAAAUAUAUUCCUACAAACUUCAAUUUUCAUAUUGUCUCUACAAGAGUUCUAAUGCUUACAAAUAUUCCUGCAGUUAGAAAUCGUCAAAAAAAUUUAGUUAAACAUAGAUUAAUGACUUAAUCUUAAUUAAUUUUUAAUAUUUUUAUCACUUUUAUAUUAUACUAUUAUGAUUUUUGAAAGAACAUAUUUAUAAUGACAAAAUUAAAAAAUAACAAAUCAGAAGAAUAUAUUUAAAAAUAUAAAAACUUCCAUAAAAAUAACAUGUAAAAAUUAAACUUUGUUGGAAUAUAUUUAUCAUUCACUAUAUUUGCAGGGACUAUGAAAUUAACCCUUACUUUUAAUUAUGGUUAAGUUCCACUCUUGAACCAUAAUCCACCAUAACCCAUAAAUUAAAUGUUUCAAAUUAGAAUUCCUUCAUUUAUUUUUAUUUUUAUUUUUUACUUUUUUGUUGCCUCCACAAUCCGCAGGGAUAGAUAAUGGAAUGGCUGGGAUCAAACUAUAGAUUCAAAAGUGGCCAGUUGUCCGUUUGGCAUCAUCCUACCAAUUAGCAACUUAUUACUAAGGCAAACAUCCAAAAGUAGCUUCGUCCCCCCCCCUCCCCUCGUACUAGUUAUGGCCGCUAUAAACAAACAGCUACUAGGAAACAAAGGAAACGAAAAGAAAAGAGAGAAGGGGGGGGGGGGGGGGAGGUGAAUUUGCCAUCAUAUGCAAUCAUGGGCGUCGAAUUUCAACGCAUCGCGAUCCCUAAACUCGAGAACUGCGCUGCAACGCUUCCAAAGAAAAAGUUAGGCGAGUUGGAAUCCACCAGAGCAAAAUAUAUCCGUAAGAGAGAGAGAGGAGGAGAGAAGAGAGAGAGAGAGAGAGAGAGAGGGAGCGAGAGUACAAAAAUCGGCUUCACUGCUCCCAAAAGCUUUUUGCUGCAGCUCUGGCUACCACUGCGUCGAAGCCUCCCCACAUCACACAAUUUUCACCAGCACACUACUGUAGCCAUGGACCACCUCAACCCCCUUCUUCAAAGUCUACGCAUAUAUAUACGCCAUCGUCCUCCUCUACUCUCUCUCUCUCUCUCUCUCUCUCUCUCUCUCUCUCUCUCUGUCUCUCUCUGCUCCACGUGUCGGGGAGGGAAAGAAGGAAAGAGACGUGAGAUGACAGGAUAAGAAAGAAUCGUUCAGCAGCCAGCGUUGAUGCAGGUGAAGAUCUGGUGCACAGCGGCUGCCACCUCGUCGGCGGAGCCGAGCCUGCAGUCCUCUUCCAUCUGCAUUUGGAUUAGCUUCCACUAAUUAGCGUCCGGGGAUUACGUUUGUACGGACUAUUCGGAUGGAUUAUCCGUGGCGCAUUGCCUACAAUGAAUGCUAUGCGCUACGCGCGGAGUAACUCUGCGGUAGCAAUUCCAUGGUCGGCAGGUGCAAUCCCGCGGCCAUCACAUGGAUGUAGAUUUUAUCUUGUUUCAGGAGUAUCCUCCAGAGUCAUGCAUAAAAAUAGAAAAGUCGAGGAAGAGAGAGAGAGAGAGAGAGAGAGAGAGAGAGAGAGAGAGCAAUGAAGAUGAGGGUGAAAGACCUUGAGGUUGAGGGAGUAGAGGACGGAGGAUUCGUCGAGGGAGGCGAUGUUGAGGUGCAGGACGGAGAGGCGGAGCUCCUCCACGGCGGCGAUGGCCCUCGCCAACUGCCCCGCCCGCCGCGGCCCAGCCACCUUCAGGCUCACGUGCCCUUGCACCACCUUCGCCUCCACGUCCACCCCAAACACCGCCGCCGCCAUUUUCUCCUCCCCCUCCUGCUGUAGCCGCCGCCGCUGCUGCUGCGAGUAGGUCGUAUACUGCGGCGAGAAGAAGAACCCAUCGAGCACGGCGCCUUCCUGGGUUGGGUCGUGAGCCUCGUCGGAUGCGGUGCACCGGAAAGAGCUCGCGGCCGAGGUACGGAUCCGCUUCUGGGCUCGGAGUGAGAGGAGGAGCUGCUCCAGCUCUUUCACGAAGUCGAUGGCCCCACCAAUAAUGGAGGCCUGGUCCCCCUGCGCGUAACACGGGAAUCUUCAGAUCACAGCCGUUGGAUAGGAGAGAUUGGACGGCUGCCAUUUCGAGCGCCUAUGAAAUUUGAAUAUGAGUGAGGGCUGGAACGUACGUACCCGUUGGACGAAGGAAGGCGGGAUGAGAGAGCGCAGGGCGGCGAGGUGGUCGUUCAUGAGACGGCGGCGGUUGCGCUCCACCGCAAUGUGGGUCAACCGCUGGGUCUCCACCUCCUCCGGCUUCUUCGCAGACCCCGAAGCCCGCGCCCUCUUCCUCUUCUUCUUGGCCCGCGGCGCUGCCGCCGUCGCCAUAAUUAUUUCCACUUUUUUCUCGUUAUGGUCGUGGCCGAGCCUUCUGACAUCGGAUUGCGACUCCGACGCGUGGGAGAUGCAGCUCUCGAGCUGCUCCACCGGCACGGGGGCUGCGGCGGCAGAAAAGACAUCAAUCUCAGCCGUCCGAUCCCGCUUGCCGCAGUUGCUUUGUAGUUGGAGGAGCUGGAAUUGGGAUUCGGAAGGAUAGGAGGGUAAGAGAGAUUGGGAAUGGAGCCGUUCUUCUUCUUCUUCUUCUUCUUCUUCUUCUUCUUCUUCUUCUUCUUCAUCCUCCCCCGCUGUCUCUACUCCCAUUGCUCCUCGGAGUAGCAACUGGAGGAAAGGAGUUUGGCGAUGAUGAUGAUGAUGACGAUGAUGAUGGGACGAGAUCAGGCUUAAGUAGCUCAUCUCCACCGCAGAGUUACUGUUCGCCACCCCUGUCUCCAAGCACUCCGAGUUCAUCUCCUCUCCGCCCAACUGCUUUAUUUUCCAAGUAAAAUGGGAGAGAUUAGCAAGUGCGUUCUCUUUUAAAAAUCGAAACUUUACACAGGGGGGUUAUCGCGAAACAGGCAAAUGACGCGGACCCAUUAACGGUCAAGGAAAUUGAAUGGAAACUUUUCCGACCCGAAAAAGGAAGCCACGGACAAAGAAAGGAGGGCAAAAUAAUCCCACCUCUAUCCUCUUCCUUCUAAUGCAGCUGCAUUGAAUGAAAUGUCCAUAAAGGGGAACCGGUACCCACCUUUCUUCCAUCCACAAAAAGGAGGUUUGUGGGGGGUUGGGGUGUGGGGGAAAGGGGUAUUCAGAUGAUGCGCAAGAGAGAAAUUAAACAGGAAAGGGGUGGGGUAUUUAAGGACACUUACGAAGGGAUUAAUGGGCCCUUGAAGCCUCUCCAUAGGAGCAGCAGCACCAAACAGAGGAAGCAGUGCCGGGAAUUGACAACUCCCACUCGCAGCAGUCUGUGUGCAAGUAGCACCCCACCCCCCCACCCCCCUUCUGACUCUCUGCUUCUUCCUUAAACAAUCCCCCAACCACCACUUCUCUUCAUGAAUCGAACCGAAAGGUGCUCCUUUAAUUCCAUCCUCGACGCACCCAGCCGCAGCAUUAAAUGCAGAGGCAGAAACGCGAGACAACACAAGGAACAAAGCCCACAAUAAUCAUUACUCUCUUGCUUCCUCUGUUUCAAAGGGCUAGUGGUCCGAAGAGAAAGGAGCGAGUGCGACUACGGAGGAGAGCUGGGGACGGACUAGGGAGGGGAAUAAAACAAAGGAGAUGGAAUGAGAGGGAAUGGAAGAGAGAAGAAGAGAGAGGAGCGGUCCUGCAGAACAAUAUAUGGUAGAAGGGUUGUGGGUGAGAAAAGAUGUGGGGGCGGCGAGUAAAAAAGCCUCCUCAUGCAGGGAUGAUGAUAAAUAGUAAACUAAUACACGGUAAUAAACCAUGAGGUAAUUGAGUAGUGACAAAAGGCAAUUGUGGGGAUUCUGACAGCGGAAGCAUCUCCCAAAAAUAUUAUUUUAUAUACAACGAAUUCAUAUAAAAUAUUUUAAUUAAUUUGCACAAAUAAUUUAUAUAUACCACAUUAAGCUGUUGAAAAAAAUAAUAAAUAAAUAAUAAAAAUAUACAAAAUUUAUCUUAAUACAAACUAUUUUGAAUAUACUUAUUCAAUUUUUCAAUAUUAAAAUCUUAACGCACCUCGUUUGGUUAGGGAAUAAGAGUGGGAUAUCUAUCUGAUUCCUUAUUAACGAAUUAUUUCGGAAUAAUCCUAAGCAGGGACGAAGCCAGAAAUUAAAAUUUGGGGGGGCCAAGAUUUAGAGUUGAUAGGAAAAAAAUUCAACCUCAGAUAAUAAGAAAAAAAAAAUUGUCAGGUUUACUGAUUAGUUAUUACUAGCAACAAUAAUGAUAAUAUACUCAAAGAAGAAUAAAACUGUAAAAGUUGAAGAAAAAGGAUCAAGAAAUUUGAAAAAAUAAAAUUAAGACACAAAUUUUAUUAAAAAAAUUAAUUUGGCCCGCUACAAUUAAAAUUUAUAAUAUUUUAAUUUUUAUUACAAAAAUUUUUUAUGUAAUUUUAAAAAAGUUAGAGAAGGCCGUGAACCACUGUGGGCCCCUCAAUAGCUCCGCCCCUGCGGUUAAGGGGUGGGAUAGCUCCCACUCUUUGUGUGAAAAUAUGGGUGGUGUUCACACCCCUAUUUAAUUCUUUUAAAAAUUUAAAUUUUAAAAAUUUAUAAUAUAAAGAGUAAUAUUAUUUUUUUUCUAUUUAGCGCUAAUUAUUUUUCUUAUUUCAUUUAUCUAUCAAAUGUUAUUUUUCUUAUUUUCGAAAACAACUCAAUUUUUAUCCAAAUUCAAAAUUGAUAUAUUUCAGACUUAUAUCUAAACUUAUACUUAUCUUCGAAAUAAACAGUUUUUGUUUGAUAUGCAAUAAACAAAAUACACAAGCAAUUAACCGUGUGGGAGGAUGGAGGUUAAAAAUGUAAUUGUAGUUGUGGUGGAUGUGGGGCGGAAAAGCUUAGAAAGGUUGGCGCAGGCUACAUAGAUCUGGGGAUUGUGGCGCUGUCUUUUUUGCAAGACCAGCAUUAUUGUUUUGGUUGGCAGGUUUGUCCGUCUGCGAAGACAGUCCUGGGGCCUUCCCUUACCCACUCCACUCUGCCAUCCUCUCUCUCUCUCUCUCUCUCUCUCUCUCUCCUGCAGCUAAUCGUCUAUUUGAUGAUAAGACGUAAAAGAGGAAAACAACACCCUCUACACAUGGUUUAGGAUUAUGAUUACCUCAAACCUCCAGAUCAGGGGUAAACUCAAUUUCAUUCCCUCAAAAGAAGCCGCUAAUGCUAGAUGGGGUCUCGUCCUUCUGGAUCUGCUAGAACGCUAAGUUUCGGCAAUAGACCAAAUAUGCAAACGACACUAACAGCUUCCCGCCCACUGUGUAGUAAAGUCCCAAAGGACUCUGUCAUCCGCCGUGCAUCAAAGAUCACGGGAAAUACAAAGAAAAGUGAAAGCAUGAUUUUGGCCAUUUAUUCCUAACUAAAAAUUCAAUUGACUAUGCCUAAUCAAUGGCUCAAAUCGAGACCUCACCUUUAUAACCGGAAUAAUAAUUGAUCGGACUGAGAGAAGUCAGUUAGAGGUGAGUGAGGCUAGAUAGUAGGUCUUAAUAAGACGUCAGCCCAGAUUGAAAGUAAUUCCACCCUAAUACAUAUUGGACAAAGAGGUCCAAAUUUCCUAUAAGAAAAAAUUUAGAUGCAGUGCGCAUUGAAAUUUUUGGAUUAACAUUUUAAGAAAAUUUGCUAAUCCCCAUUUGGUAAAAGAUCAUUACUAAUUAUUAAGACCAUUUGCGGGCUAUUAUCUAGAGAAUCGGUCUUCUGGAUAAUAAUUUGUCACAACCUAUCUAAAACCCUUGCAAUUCUAAGAAUCCUGGCCUUAUUAUCCAAAAUCAUUAUUUAAUAAUAGGUUAAAUUUUUAUCGAUCAUUAGUGCUGAGUCUCUGAUCCUUCUGAUCCACCACACCCAGGAAUGGGGUGUUUUAGCUCUAUUUAUCUUUUUUUGGUUCUUAUUAUGUUACAAAGAGUUUCAGCUCGUUUUCCGUAGCUUGGCACAUUGAUCUAUUCUAUCAUACUAGUAAGAAAUAAAACAUGCUCAAGUUGUUUCGUAAUAACCGAUCGUUCCUAAACCAAGUGGUAAAAAAAUUGAUGGUUGAUAACCGAUGUUCCAAAUUCGAAUCCUAGUUGAUUCACAUUUCCAGCUAAGUUUAUGUUUAAAUAAAAUAAACGAGACGGGUAGCGUGCUACCUAUCUCUCAAAAAAAAAAAAAAAAAAAAAAAAACUGUUUCGUAAAAAAUCUUUGCAAAUCGAAGGCUAUGCAAAAGGCACUUAUAAGAUGAUAGAGAAGCAUGCUUAAAAUAGAAAGUAUAAAGGACUCCGAGAUUUGCGGUCAAACCUCGUAAAAUGGCUCGACUUUGUUGGCCUUGACGACAUGUACAGACGUUCCAGCAGUCGCACGCAUCGCACACAAACCAGUGUAAAGAAACACCUCUUGGUUCUAGUUGGCCUAGAACUAGGCUAAAUUAUCCCUGGAAUCUCCCCAAAGAAUUUUCUAUUGAACAAGACUCCCACAUACGGCCCGGGCUAAAAUUUAACGGGCAUAUGAAAAAUGUGAACUCUUUGUCGUAAUGUGAAGUAAGAAACCUAUAAUUUCGAUACAAAAAGUAAAGAUCACGCAUCAGCAUGGUAGUUAAGCUUUGGUUGGGAAAGAUACGAGAAAUUAGUAUGUGAUAUAUAGAUAGCAAGAAGCAAUUUUAACAAAUGGUAUAAUAGUUACAUAGUUGUUAAGCUCUAGUUGGAAGAGAUAAGAGGAAAGUCAGUACGUGAUAUAUGAAUAGCAAUAAGCAGUUUUAAUAAAUGAUAUAAUACCGACCGUUCCUAGAGCAAGUGGCAAAAGACUUGAUGGUUGGUACCCGAGACCUAAGUUCGAAUCCUAGUUGAUUCGUAUUUCCAGCUAAGUUUAUUUCUAAAUGAAAUAAACGAAACGGGUAGCAUGCUAUCUAUCUCUUUAAAAAAAAAAAAACAAAUAAUAUAAUAAAUACCUCAAUCUUGAUCACUGUUUAUAAACAGCUAUGCUAGUGGUACAUACAAAAAUGGAUGUACAAAUAGCAUUUACCAUAAACAAGACAAAUUUGCCUCAUAUUCUGGCCUUAUUAUAUAAUGGAGUUUUCUUAGAAACAAGAAGUAAUAGGAGAAGACAGUAUGCUCUCCCCCAAUAGCUUCUUUCUACAAACAACACUACUAGAACGACGGCAGGUACGAACAUAAGCAGCAACCUAACAAGGUUAAAGGGACAAAAGUUUUAUGGGAAUAGUUCCCAUGAUAAGCGAUCUCAUCCACCGUUCAUCAUGCUUUAAAGUCGUAUAGUCCACAUGAUGGACGGAGGAUCAGACAGUUCCCAUAAAAUUUUUGUUCCAUUUUAAUCUAUUGCAUCUAUCGCAUCAAAAAUUGUUCGGUUAAAUAUUGUCUCACAAAAUAUUAUUAUUAGCGAUCAAUAGAAGGACAAUUGGUUAAGAAUUUGUAAUAUUUCGAAGAUAUUAUAUAAUUUUUAUUUGUAAUUGUAAUUUUGUUACUAACUUAUCAAACUAUUUGAAUUGAGAAGUUAUUAAAAAGGAAAAUUUUCUUCAAUACCCUUCCAAGUAGUUCUAAUUUCAUGAAUACACGUCAAAAUUUUAAAAUUUCAUAUUUGCCCUUCAAAAGCAUGGAAAAGUUUCAAAAAUACCCUCACCGCUAGCAAUCUGUUAUAUUAGCUUCAAUAUACCAAUUUUACCAUCUAUUUUAAUUUAAUCACCACUCUCACAAUUUUUUUUUGAAUAUAUGAAGACCCCCUCAAUUACUACCCAUUGUGAAAUACCCUUCUAAAUUUAACUUUUUAAUUAAAGUCUUCUUAAAUUUUAUUUUCUUAAAUUGAAUGAUUUUUUAUUAUUAAAUUAGAGAUUUUAUCUAAUCCAUUAAUGAUUCAAAUAAAUUUAAUAAUUUUAAUAACUUCGUAGUAUAUAAAAUUAAAUAAGUUUCUGUUCAAAAAAAUAAUAAUAAUAAAAACUUCAAGGAUUUACUUAAAUGACCUAUAGUUGAUAGUUUUAGUAUAAAUAUCAAAAAUAAGUGAAAAUUUUUUUGAUUUUUAAACAAAAAAUAAGGGUAAAAUGGUAAUUUCAUAAUUUUAAAUAAAAUAAAAAAAUGCUAUGUCGACAGAAGUUAGCCAAAAAUUAAUGGUGAGGGUAUUUAUGAAAAAAAUAUUGUAUUUAGAGGGGUAUUUGUGAAAUUUUAAAAAUUCAAAGGAUAUUUAUGAUAUUUCAUAACUUUGUGAGGGUACAAAUGAAAUUAACCCUAUUAAAAACUAGUAUAUUCUUAUUAUUUGUAAUUGCAACUUUGUUAGUAACUUAUCAAACUAUUUGAAUUGAGAAGUUAUUAAAAACUAGUAUAUUCUUAUCAACGGCCUACUAAUAAUUUUCAUUAAAUUAAAAAAUGAGAAUACUUGUAAUCCAUAAUAAUUUAGUAUUCAACCGACUAAGAAUCUAUAAUGAUUUCACUAAUUUACCAACAUCUUUUUUAAAACUACCCGACUUAAGUUGAAUAAUAAUAAUUUAAAUAUUUUUAAUAAAAAAUAUAAAAAAAUUAUCAAAAUAUUAUAAAUCAUGAAACAAAUGGAUUCUAAAAAUAAAAUUUAUUUUGGGAGCAACACUACACAUCAAAAAAAGUUUAGAUAAAAUACUCCUAACAAAAUAUUAAAAUGGCAAAGAGAGAUAGGAUAACACGUUACCACCAGCAAUACUUCAUCACUGCAAUGAAAGUGACGAUGUGAGGCAAACAUAUUUAACUCGUCAUUAUUCCGUCAACCUCUACCCUUUCCACGCUGUAAUGCUGUAUAUAUACUGUCUGGGUCUGAAUCUCAAGAGGGAACAGCAUUUCCAAAUGAUACAGAGUUGGGAGUAAAAAGUAUGUGCAAAGACAAGGGCAGCAAUUGACAGAAGCACUUUUCUCUGACGAGACCCUUGUUCCAGGAUAUUGAUUUCGAAAGAGCUAAUUUUUGUGUUCCAAUAAAUCUAUGGAAUCUACUUAUUAUUAUUAUUAUUAUUAUUAUUAUUAUUAUUAUUAUUAAACUAGUAAAAAGCAUAUAUGUUAGAACAACCUCUCCAAUUUCAGGUUGAAGCGGAAACAAGCGAUUAAGCGUUUUUAAUUACUAUGGAAGUGUAAGGGUAAUAAGAGCCUGACUUGUAUGCUUUCAGAAAUACAAUGCUCUCCAAAAUAGUUUUUGAUAUUGAGACUUUUCAAUCAACCCAUUUUGUUAGACUUUAUAUAAUAUUAAAAGUACCUAAAAAAUAAAUUUUAUAAUUUUUUAAUAUCGCCUCUUUCAUCAUCAAAAUGACUCAAAAUCAACAGCUAAAAAUACAAAUCUAACAAAAAGUGAUAAUAUAACACUAAAAUUUUAGAUCAACAAUAUUGCUUUUUACCGACCGUCCCUAGAGCAAAUGGCAAAGGGCUUGGUGGUUGGUACCCGAGACCCAAGUUCAAAUCCUAGUUAAUUCACAUUUCUUGCUAAGUUUAUUUCUAAAUAAAAUAAACGAAACGGAUAGCGUGUUACUUAUCUCUCAAAAAAAAAAAAUAUAUUAACCUUAUUUUAUAUAGUAUAAAAAAAUUUCUAUCAAAAUUUUACGUACUGUUAAACUUACAAACGACUCACUACGAUUACUAAAAUUAUUAAUUUUAAUUUUAUAAUUACUUAAUAAAUAAUAUCAAAAAAAAUUAUAAAAUUUAAUUUUUAAAUAUUUUAAAUUAAGUCUAACAAAAACGAUCAUAUAUUCAAAAGUCUUAGUACGGACAAUUAUUUGAUAGUAUGGAAAUUAUCAUACUUCUUAAAGCACGUUAGUCUAGCUCAGAUAAUAAUAUAGAGUAUAUGAUUCAGUCAAAAUUAACCAGCUUUUUGACCAGGGGAGGCAUUUUCCCGAGGCUUGCAGAUUUCUGGACAGAACUUUUCACUUUUUCCCAUGCCUUACCAAAUAAAUCAUAGUUACCAGCACUCAGCCAUUUAGCUCACCGUCAGGUACUGUACUUUUUAAGUCAUUUCUAAUAGAAAAAAUUGCAUCUUAAUAUUUUAAAACUUUUUAUUUAUGUUUUUAAUUUUUUUAUAUGCCUGUAUUCUGCUGAUUUAUUUGACAUAAUUUAAUUUUUUUUUAAAUUAUAUUUUAGGAUGGAUGUUUCGAGAUAUGAAAUAGAUGUAUCCAUUUCUAACAGGUUGUUUAGGAAAAAUCACGUUUUAUAUUUUUUCCUUCAAAAUUAAAUCAGUAUAUUCGAAUGAGCAUGCCAUGUCACUUCGCAUAAAAUAAUGAUGUGAGCAUUCCACUAUAUAUAUCUCUCACUAUAUUAUUAAUUAAUAUAUUAAAUGUGGAGGCUCAUGAUUAACUUAUGCAUGCAUUGCGAAAUAUGAUAAAAAUUUAUUAAUAUACUAAUAAUAUAUAAAGAUAGCAUUAUGAUAUACAUGCAACAGUGCUGUUAAGCAUAUAGGAAGUCCAGAUUUUAACUUAAAAAUUCUACGACUCGACUGAAAAUUUUAGAUCACAGAAUUUAAAGAAGUAACGAGAUGACACUUACAUGGAGCCAGCAAAGUGCCAAAGCCAUAGGAACAUUAGGAUUUUCUUACCUUCUGACAAUUCCGGUAAUAUAAAACUUACCUAUUAGAUAGUUAAUACUCUAUGAUGCAGUCACCGACCGUCUGUAGUGCAAAUGACAAAGAACUUAAUGUUUAAUAUCUAAUGUUUCAAAUUCGAAUCUUAAUUGAUUUAUAUUUUCAGUUAAGCUUAUUUCUAAAAAAAAUAAACGAAACGGAUAACAUGCUACCUUAAUUUCUCUCUCAAAAAAAAAAAAAACUUUUUGAUGCAGUCGGGUCCCUAUAUGAUAAGGUUUGGUCACUCUCUAAUGUAGCACUAUUUCGAGUCCUUGGAUGAAAGAAAAAAAGAAAAAAGAAAAAUGAAAGAUUGUGAUAGUUCAGAUGUACACUAGAUGAGGCAUUCUUCGGAGCAAGCAAGAUAGAGAGGCAUUUGCAUUAUUAAAUGAUAUGCAGGAUUCAGGGAAGUACCUCACUUGCAUUGUGUUCGAGGCCAGCACUUGCGUUUGAGGCCUGCAAUUGUGUUCCAGGCCCGCACCGUGAUAACACGGGCUCGUUCUAUUGCCUAUCUCACAACAACCCUCUCAAUAGAAGGCAUUAUUCAGUGGAAGAAGAAUUCAACUUCAUUAGCCUUAUCAUCAUCAUCAAGGAACUGCAAGAUAAUUGUAAUCCACAACCAAUCAUCACAAGAAAUGAGAAGAAAGCGUUCAAGUUGAUUGAGGUUUAGAUGCAUUUGCAGAUCAAAUAGGCUUACCUGAGCGGACUAGCCAAAAGUGAUAUCCCCAUCUGUCCGAGGUUAUUUGGCAAUUAACCCUCACCAGGGAGAGCCAAGAGAAAAAGGCCGAAAAAAAAUAGAUCGAGAAUGCAUGGUAGGAGGGGACUGUAAACAUUACAAACCAAAGGUAAAUUGAAUUUAUCCAUAGGAACUGCAAGAACAUAAGUAUGCAACUAAUGCUACCACUGAAGAUACAAAACUUUCAGACUAUGACCUUUCUAAUUCCACAUCCGUCAUUUGCUUGCUUUCAUGAAGGCAGAACAACUGUGAAACCCAACUUCAAAAACUUGCUUCCCUAUUAUAAAUAAGAGACAUGUCUAAUUAGUCUGCCCUUGUAAUAUAGCUUAAGAUUACACUAAAAAGAAAUGAAAGCACAAAUCGUACUUAUGUUCAAAUGAGGAUCAUACAUCUAGCUGAUUAAAGAUCUUCUGUAUACCACCUCAGAUACUGCUGAACUAUUCAAAGGAUCAACAAAGCAAUGCUUCAAACACUAAUAGAUUCUACAUUCUAUAUAUUUGUUAGGGAUUCCACAGAGGUUGCUUAGCAGAUGGGUGAUCUAAACUGAUGAAAUAUUUUUUAAGCUCAUCCAAGGUCCUUGGAAUAGCAUGGAUUGAUCACUGGAAAAAUCUCUCAAUAUUAUCUGUAACAAGGAAAGAACACCCAUCUAAAGCAAAUAUGAAUUUAAGCUAAAAAUAUUCAGAAGCAUUACAGUAAUCAUUAUUGCAAGCAUUAAUUUAAUAUGUGCAUGUCCAUCAAAUAAAGUAACGAAGACAAAGGCAGCCAACAAGCCCCACAAAGAGCAAAUGUAUCAUGCAAAAUGCACAAAAAAAAAUGAUACAUAGUAAAGUAACUUUGUCAUAUAUCACAACACUGAUCUGAAAGAAAGCAAGUUCAAUAUGCACACUAUGUAUGUCACAACAGCUAAAUAUAUCAAUGUUAUAUUUUAAAAUAUAAAUAUCUACGGAAGUUUUUCAAACGUGUAUUAUUUUGCCAAAUCAAGAAAAAUCCAGAAAGACAGUGAAACAAAAAAAUAAAUAUAGGGAGUUUUUCACAUGCAUGUUUUUAGAUAGUGAAAUAUUAAUAACAAGGGAAGACCAUGUCAACACAUGAACACACCAUGAACACAUGAAUUGCCAAACAUAACAUUGGAGAAAUUUUUUGCAGAGGCUCCCUCUGGAUUUUGAUGUUUCUAUAGUCCCCACACGUCCCAAGUGCAACUGGUUAAGAGAGCUGAAAUGCAUUCUUCUCCAAAUAUACUGUCGUGAUUUCAAACUUGUAGUUUGCCCUGACGAGACCUGCAUUCUUUGCAAAAUAAAAAUCCGUGUACAGACAGAGGUACAUGAUUUAUCCAAUGUUAACAGAGGAACAUGAUUUUUUUUUUUUUUUACUGGCUAGAAAGAUGUUAUUGAUAUUCUUUAACAAGGUGGGGAAACCCAUUGUCUCAGGUCUGAUGUGCGUCCUAGUCUUACUACAUUCACAAUUCAUUCAAGUAUUGUUGUACUACUAGACAAAUACAGUAAGAUUUGAACUCCAGGGACGUUGAGAAGUGACAGCAACUUAGUUCAUACUCAUGUGCUGAGAAACUUCCUUCUGUACAAAACCUUUAUGGCAUAAAAAUAUUUUUAUUUAGUCAGCUUGAGUGCUCAUCGCAAGCAUGUUCAGAUCUAAACUCCAGAAUCUAGAUCUCAGUAUAGUUUGCUUAAUCAAAUCUACUUAAAAGUGAUUGAAUGGAAAAAAUAAUGCUUCCUCAAUCAAGGUAUUAAUGCCGUUUACACAAACAAAUAUAUAGCCAAAAGAGGAUAUAGCAGGAUAGAGAAAGAAUCUGAAAGAAAUAUCCAGAUAGCUGGUAAAUCCCAAAAAGGAAAGCACCUCGUUGCUUCGACCGCCGCGAACUGCACCAUCCCCAUGUCCUCCUGUACCCUAUCAAUCCUCAAUAGAAAAUCAAAUUAUCCAACAUGCUAACAAAACUCAUAAACAGAGACAAGAGGAUACAUAAACAGGAUAGAGAAAGAGUCUGAAAGAAAUACCUAGAUAGCAGGUUAAUCCCAGAAAGGAAAGCACCUCUUUGCUUUCGCCGCCACGAACUAUGCCACUGCCAUGUUCUUUCAUACCCAACGUGCUAGAAUAAGAGAGAUCAAGAAAGAUCAUGUUUCAUCUACUAUCGUGCUAAGAUAAGAGAACAAGACCCAAAGAUCAAGAAAAUAAUGUCUCCGUACAGGAGAAAGAAGGAAGAGAACCUCAAAAGAAGCACCUCAUGAGGUAGUUGAGGACACUCAAGAACCUGAUCCUAAAAUCCCCAAUUCCAAGGAUAAAGGCUCCUCGAAGAUCAAGAUAUCAUCCUCCAAAUUGAGUAUGAGCUAGCUAACGUGAAGGAGCAGUACCAGGUUGCUAGGGUGGAGGAGCUGACCAUGAUUCCAUUUGAUAGAGAGUAAUGUUAUGUUAACAAACAAUUUUAUAAACUUUCCACAAACUUACCUAGGUGAUUACAUCUAAUAGGUGGAUGUUCACAAAUUGCAGAAGUCAUAACUAAAUCCAGGCAUUCAAACUUAUCAGUUUGUAGAAAAUUUGUAAAAUGGUCAUAGCAUAGCAUUAUUCAUUUGAAAAACUAGUUAUAAUUUAGAUUCAAUGCCAUAUCAAACCUAGAAAGCUUUCACAUACAUCUAAUAUCAAUAAAGUGGAUGAGUCGUUAAGGGCCGAUUGUUACAGAAUCUUUUGGGUGUUUCCCUAGAUAGUUCUUUUUGACAUUUGUGAUCAAUAAGCAACAAGCAUAAUUAUUGUAAUCUUCAACCAUUUAUACUCUAUUUUACUGUUUCCAUAAAACCUUAAUCACGGACUAGUAUACUCCAUCUGUUUCAAAGAUCGUCUACAUAACGGUAAGAAAGAGUAAAGAAUAUCGAAUUAUCCAACACAAAUAUAAAUACAUAGAUCAUGAAAAGAGGUCAAGAAACGGGAACGCAAGAGCAGUUAAUCCGAUCAACGGAAGCACCUCCCAGCUUCGGCCGCCUCGAUCAUCACCGCACUACAAUUAGAAAGAUCAAGGCUCAAAGAUUAACAAAGACAAUGUUUAAUCGAUCACCAUCAUCCUAACAUAAGAGACAAAGAUUCAGGGAUGACAAAAGAUUAAUCCUCUAAGAGGUGGAAAGACGCAAGAAAACCUCCAAUAAAAGACCCCCUCGUGCGAUCCGAUCCAAGAACCCCACUCUAAGACCCGAUCGCCUUCUCACCUCAAGUUCGACGUCGACAGGACGAAAGAAGCUCACCGGCGAUGGAGCUACGGAGAAGGAGAUCGAGGCGGAGUCGAUGACGAGGUCGAGGGCGUCGAGGUUGAGGCAUCGGGUGACGCUCGAUCGGAGAAGAUCGAAGUGUAUGAAGACGGAGCCGGAGAAGACGCAGGAGCCGAGGUCGUAACCCCGCGCCAUGGCGGAGUCGCGGUGGAAAAGUGAUGAGUCCUCCAUGGCGAUGGGGAAUUUGGAUCGUUUGGAAUUUGGGGAGAGAGCUAGCUCCGAAAACACUGGGGAAAGCUCCUUUUAUAGUCGUCUUCCGUAUGAAAUUUUUGUCCGUUGUGGGAGGCGGUGGGGCGUGGGCGUAGCAGAAAGCAAGCGCGAGGCGUAUUUAUGGAAUUUCGCCAGAAUUUUAUGUUUUUGCCCUUUCGGAAGGUGAUGAUAUUUUAAUUGUCAAGGUGAAAUAUUUAUGAUUCAAUUUAUUACAUAAUAAUAAAUUAGCAAUAGUAUAUAUUUUUUAAAAAAAGGUAAAGUACAUUGUAUUAUUGAAAAAUUUCAGAUUUUUAGCACGUUCGAAAACGUUUGGAUUGACAAAUCAGUAGAUUUAACAUAAUUCAAGUACAGUGAUAUUUAAAUUUUUUAAAGUGUGAUUAUUUUUUUAUUAUUUAUUUUGACGUAACUUGUACGGUUUGAAAAUUAAAUUUAAUUACUUCAUUUUUUAUUUUAAUGUAAUUUGGUGUUGGUGAAAUUAAUUUUUUGUAGUUACAUUGUUUGUUUUGAUGUAAGUAAGUGGAUUACGUUAUCUUCUGAAUAUAGUGAUAAAUUUACCGUUAUAAAAUUUAACAUAUUAAAUAAUUAAUUUUUUUAUUAUUAUUUAAAGGUAAUCAUAAUUUAUUAUAAAUAAAAUAAUUCUAAUCUAUUAUAAAGGAAGUAAAGUUUAGAUUUUACUAUUUAAUAAAUUUUUUUAGAAAAAAUUAAGCGUAGUAGAAGUCGCGUUCGGCACUUGAAAGAGAAAAGUCGAGAGUAGGUGAAAUAAAGAUCUAAUGUAACUUAAGUUACACUAUAUUUUUGACUUAUAUACCAAAACAAACAGCCCAAGAAGAAAAUCCUACUUGUGAACAAAUAUGGGGAAAUCCGAGCUCCACCUAUAAUAAUUUAUUUUAUUUAAUUUAGUUAGAAGGAUACCACAUAGACCUAGCAAACGAGCAGAUUGGAUAAUCCGCGGGCGGGUUAUUGUACCCGCGGGUUAUUUGGGUAUAGGUAAAAUUUAUCCGUAAAUUUUUAGGUAGCCAACAUUUUUAUCCAUACCCACCCACGGGUGGGCGGGUGGGGAUGCGGAUUACCGGCAAAUUUCUUUUUUUGUUCUUAUAUUUUUUAAAUGCAAAACAUAUAUAUAUAUAUAUAUAUAGGUACUAUAUAGCUAGUAUAUAUAUAUAUAUAUAUAUAUAUAUAAAAGUUUUAAAAGCAUAAUAUAACUCAUUAUUUAAAAUAUCAUAGCAUACAAUAAAAAUAUUUAAAAUUUUAAAGCAAAAAUAUUUUACAAUAUAAAAGACACGCAAUAAGAAAUUAGUAUUAGAAUUUUUAGAAUGGGUAAAUAAAAAAAAUAUAUUUUGUAUUUAAAAAAUAUAUGUGCGGGUAUCCAUAGGUACCCGCGGUUUACCCAAAAUACCCACAACUUAAUGGGUACCCAUCCGUUUUAUCCGUAAUUUUUGAAUUGUAAAAGUUGGCACUCAUACCCGCAAAUUUGCUGGUAAUACGCGGGCACCCGCAGGUUUGGAUCGGGAUUGACCGGUCUAAUUUACGACACACACAGGGAGAGUGAAAGAGACGAGACCUGAGCAAAAAGGCCCGCCGGAUUUUAUUGGGCUGGUUCUGGGUUUUCCCCUCCUUCGUUGGACCGGGUGCUUUCUAGCACAAUUAAUUUUGAACGGGCUUAGGCCUGAAAUUAUACAAUAUUUUAAAAGAAAAGGUUCCAAACUUAGGUCCAACCGAAGGUUUGCUUAGGUAUAUCAAUAUGACGCUGAGUAGACUACUGCGUUGCGCCGGAGUUUCUACUGCCAUUCACCGUUUCUAUCCCGUCUCAGUGAGCCCAGAUUUAAUCCUUCAUCUCCGUUUUUUCUUUUUCUUUUUUCUUUUAAAUUCACUACAUUUGUACGGUAAUAGUUCGAUUAUUUCUCUCUUAAUUUGAGAAGUUUUUUAGCUGAGAAUGAACGAGUCUAUACUUUGUUGAUUUUUGAGUCAUAGGGGAAAGAUUCGAUGAAUAAUGGGCGUUGCAUAAUGAAUCUCCUUGUUCUCUGCAAUCGCCAGUGGAUUUUUUGGGCACAUAGUAGUUAGUUCAAAGGUCGGGCUUAGAACGGAUCAUAAGUGGUUUGCCCAAAACUUGCAGUUUUGGAGAUUAGGGACGUUGUGCCCUAAUGUUCGGUAUCUCUGAGUUCUAGUUUCAUCAAAAUAAAAUUGGAUGUGCGAAGAAGAAAAAAAGAAGAAGAAGAAGAUCAAUUAGAAGCUCCUACAUUGUGAAGCAAAGUUAGGAUUACGAGGCAGGGAGAGGGAAAGUGAAGGAGCUGAAGAAAAAUCUUGUUAGACUUGGUUUGCUAUGUGUUUCCAUUCUUUGAUGGACAUUCUCCUUUGAUGUUUAGGUCGGAAAUCAACAGUUUGUAUUCUGGAUCAUGGCGAGUACGGCGUGCUUUGUUAUCGUCAGUCGGAACGACAUUCCUAUAUACGAGGCCGAAGUCGGCUCUGUGCUCAAGGCAUUACUUCUUUCUCGUUGCUUAUCCUGAUUGAAACAAAUUUGAACCAUGUAAAAUGCAAUGCAUCUUAAUGGCUUCUAACAUGUUGCUAACUUACUAACAUCUUAAUCUUAGAUGCAUCUCAUUAUAUUUCUUAGUAAUUAUAGUAAAAUGAUUUUAAUCUGACGCUGCAGUUUUAGUAGGUUAAUCAAUGUUAUGGUAUUAAAUGAGCCUAUCUGCCAAUUUGCAUUGUCUCCUCUUUCGGACAAUUACAUUACUUUGUCUUAUGUGCGUAGUCGUUUCAUCUUCCGAGUCGCAUGAAAUUAGUGAGUUUGUUGUUUUUGAUGACCAUUUGAGGAAAAUAACAUAGUUGUGUUACUUCGAUUUUGAAUUUAAAGUUACAAGUGGCAAUGGAACAAUCAUAAAGAUUUCUGUUAAUCUGAUGGCAGAAAGAAGAAGCUGCACAUCUGCACCAGUUUAUUUUACAUGCUGCACUGGAUAUCGUUCAAGAUCUUGCUUGGACCACAAGUGCUAUGUGAGGUUCUACACUCUGUUGGAUUACUAUAUUAUGCUUUUUUCUCUGGAAGGUUUCGUGUCGGAAUUCGCCUGUACAGGUUUUUGAAGUCGGUGGACCGGUUCAACGAUUUGGUGGUCUCUGUUUAUGUCACUGCUGGUCAUAUCCUACGUUAAAGUACUUUGAUUCACAUUCUGCAUAAAUAUUUGAUGAUCUUUCUACAAUUUGAUUAUAUUAAGUAAAAGUACUUUGAUUCACAUUCUGCACAAAUAUUUGAUGAUUUUUCUACAAUUUGAUUAUAUUCCUUAAAGGAUGUGUUUUAUGCAUUGAUUGGUUAUAUCUCAAGUCUAUUAAUUGCUUUUUUUCUCACUCCUUAAAUAAAUCAUUCACAUUUUCCUUAACGUACCAAUUUGUACACACUAGAUUGAUGUUGCUACAUGAUUCCCGUAAUGAAGAUGGGAUAAAAAGCUUCUUUCAAGAUGUCCAUGAAUUAUAUUUAAAGGUAACACUACUAAUCACAUUUGUCCCUUUACUAAUGUGAUUCUUCAUCUUUGAUUUUUCAAGGCAGUUCGUUUGACCAUAACUGAGAUAAUCCACUUUUGUCAUGGAUUUAGGUAAUGGUCUGAGAAAAUGUUCUAGUAUAAAGUUUAGUUUGACACGGAAAUCAACCUAGCUCUCUCAAACUUUAUCAUGGAAAUGCAACCCCAUUUAGCUCAGCUUUCUGACUUUUCUUGGCUAUAUCUUGUUUGCCUUAUCAUGAUGUGUCCUUUUCAGUAAGAAAAUUAACAGAUGAAACCUGAUCAUCAAUUGUAAGGUUGUGCUAUCUGGUGAAGGAUUUAAUUAUUGCUGUUAAGUUUUUGAUUUUGCACGUUGCCUCCAUUGAAAAUAAGCACUAUGAUUAGCUAGCUGGAUACCUAACCUUUUCAAAAAAGUGCACUUACCCCAUCUCAACAUCUUCAUCCGAGCUGUUUCCUUCUUUCAAAAAUAUGUCAUCAUUGUCUUAUAUCUAAAGUUGAAACUGUGACAUAGCAUUCAUAUCUGCUUUAGAUAAUGCAUCCUAUUUUCAAACCCCCAAGAAAUUCCCUUUUCUCCGUUUAAUAUUACGGUAUGCAGUACAGACAUUUAUAUCUUUAUAAAUUGUGAAUAAUAUGUGGGAAUAAAAUGAUUUGAUUGAGGAGUAGCUGAUUGAAACUUGAUUGAGAACCUUCACAACAAAAUUAUUGUGCACUCAUUAUUUGUAGACCCACACCAUUAAAUGCCUGAGAAUUAAAAAGAAGGUUUUCAAGGUGUUCUAUCAUACAUUACGUGUUAAAGAAUAGUCAGCAUAUUUUUUAAAAGGCAUCUAAAUUGAAUUGCUAUGUUGUCGGUUAAAAUCCUCAUGGCUUAGAUCUCAUAUGAACCAAAUUCAAUUGAGUCGGUGUGUUUCCAGUGGAAAAACAUCACAGAAGCCAUAAUGUGAACAUAUUUGAUGCAUUAGCGUUUUUCUCCCUGAAAGCACGAUUUUCCGGCUAUGAAAAUACCCAGAAAACUACACUAUGAUCAAUGAAGGGAUGCAAAUGGAUCUAGGUUAGUGGAGCCUCUGCUCCUUACCGCCCUGAAUGGGGCGGUAAGUGGGCGCCAAAAAUAAAGAAAAAAAUAACUCUUCCCGAAUUUAUCCCGAUCUGCUAAGAAAACGGAACAGAACAUGGGGACCCCUUCUUUCUUUUGAUCCAUCUCAAUCCGCCAAAAAUUUGCUCCCAUUCUGAUCUGGUCCCGAAUUGAGCGAUAAGUGAGAACCAAAAAUAAGAUAAAAAUCAAACCUCCCUGAAUCCACCCUGACCUAUGAAGGAAAUGGGGCGGAAGGUGGGAGACCGUAUUUGGAUCCCUAGAUUAAUGAUGUGGACAUUCUGCUUGGAUGACUCAUAAUUUGCUUUGCACUAUAAAAUUCAGUAACAAAAAUUUAGUGGAAUCUGUGUAAUUCGUGUUUAACAAAGAUUGACUCAGCCAAGAGAAGGGAUUGUUUAAUGCCACCUUAAAUUUU